rnacentral:misc_RNA from 1 species
UUCCCACCAACUUCAUCAUCUUCAAUGCCAACCAGUCUGUCCAGACCAUCAACAGAAUCACUCAAAUACAAAGGGUAUUCAGGUGUAAUUUUUACCAUUCCAGACCCUGUACUUCCAGACUGAUUCUGAAGGUUUCCCAUCACAGAUUUCUUGAUAAGAAGACAUCCAAAACCAGUUGGGUCAUGCCCAAAUACUCUGUAAAAUGAAGUAAUAAUGAAAUCAGGCCGAAACAAGGACAACCCAAGCGAAUCCAUAUCUUUGGGACCCAAUGACCCAGCAUCAAGCAAGACAUGCCAAUUGUUCUGCUGAGCCAGUGCCAUCCAUUGGUAUGAAUACUUGGCCCCAGUAACUCUUGACUGCACUGGAAACACAAACAAACCAACUGCAGAGUCCUUCUUCCUCCUCUUCUUACUUGAAAUUUGCUUUCUCAAAUCAGUGGAACAGAGUUUAAGAGUUGGCCAUUUGAACCAUGCGCUAUAAACUUUUGCACCCUUUUCUUUGGCACUCUGAGCCAUCCAACUCACAGACUGGCUUUCAUAAUCAAACAUGGUCAACAACUUCUUAUUGGUAUGAAAAGGGUAUGAUUCUGCGAGCAAUUUAAAUGCGGACCCUCUACUGACAGUAAAAACAAGGCCAUACUCAUGCUCAGGGAUGUUCAAAUAAUCCAUAAUUCUGGUCUUUAUAUCAUGUUCCACAGUGCCUUUCUCAGCACCACCAUAAAGAGCAUGAUUACUCAAAUUUGCAGUUAUCUCAGAUAAGCUAAAUGUAGAAGACUCCCAAUAAUGCAAAGUCUGAAGAUAUGAAAAAAGCCCAAAUCCACAGUAAUCGAGGCAUACCUUUGGAUUCAAAUGUGCAUACUCAUCUGACCUUAGCUGAUCAAUCUUCUCCGAAGACUGGUACUUUGGGUACAUUGUAAGGAACUUGGAGAAAGCCUCACGGAGGACAGGAAUGGAAUCUUCAGUCUCAAAUAUGCGUUCUGCUGCUAGGGCAGUGGCACGCAAGAAUUCACGCUGGGCAUGGAGUCUUGCUAGGGAUCUUGAUCGCCCAAGGCUCUCGUCCUGGUUUCCAAGUGUCUCAGACUCCAUGUCUUGGGAUUUGAAGAGAGAACCAUCUUCAGAUGCUUCUUCAAGAGCUUCCCUGAGUUUAUGUUCUUGCAGUUUCCGAAGAAUUGAUGCGUUUUUCUUGAUAUCAAGAUUGGAUUCGGACCCAUCUUUUUUCCUGCUCUUCUUAUCCAAGAUCAGAGCAGCACAAUGAGAUAUGGGCUUCCACAGUGAAAGAUGCAUCAAAAUUUUUUACUAUAUCAACAAUCUGAGAGAGAAAGCAAACGUAGCUCAAGACUCAAGAAAACAGUUAGAUUCUGUUGAGUUUAGCCCAUCUACCAGAAACAGAGGAGGGUCAGUAUCAAACCCUAGGGACUGUAACGAGAAAGAAAGGGUCUCGACUCUAGAAUCAGAUCAAGAAAACUGUAAAUUUAUAUUUCUUCAAAAGUCCAAGGGCAAAUGAAGAAUCGAAAAAUGAAAGAGAAAAAUACAGAAUCUAAGAAAUGUCAGCUUAGCUUCAAAGAAUUUCAGGUGAAAACCCACAGAAACACAAAACCCAAAAUUUAAAUGACCCAAUUCAACAAAGUCAAAGCCCCAUUCCAGCGAAAAGUUAAACAAGGAAAACAAAUUAGGAAGAAACCCAAGAAAGAGAGAUAGUCAAACCCUAGAACCCAAAAUCCAGAUCCCCAAAUUUCGCAAAGAACCUCGCAUCCAGCAAAAAACUCAGGAAGAAAUAUGAAGAAAAGGGCUUCAAGUAACCAAGACGAUGAGUAGAAAAAAGCCCUUAAACCCUUAAAAUCUGUGGAUGAAGAAUAGAUGUCAAGAAUCCAUUAGCACACCUGAGAGAGCUCAAAAAGAACCUCUCUUCCUUGAGUUUCUCUCUCUUCACUGCAGCACAAAUAAAAGCAGGCAAAGCAAACCCUUCUCCACAUUAAAUGCUCAUUUACUAUGCGUCCAGUAAAUCCAAAACCAAGACAUGCCAGUAUUGAUAACCCCACUUUGCUUUCUCUCUCUCUCGCAAUUGACUCUCUCUCUCUCUCUCUCCUCUUUUGAUCUCUGUCAAAUCCAAAACCAAAAGCAGUGUUUUGUGAGAUUGAAGGUUGUGUUGUAAGUGAGUAACGAAGGAGUGAGGAGAUUGGGUCGCUUUUAAAGAAGAAUGAGAGAAGGAGGGGUUUAAUGGAUAAGAUAAGGGUAUAUUGGGAAGAAAUGAAAAGAUAACCAUGUGAUUGUAAUCAUCAAAUUAAUGUAAGAGAGCAGGGAUGCGUCAGCCACGCAUCCAACCCAAAAUGCAUACAAGCUACAACGGUUAUUUCUGGCUUUUUUCUCUUUGCUUUUGGAAAGCUGAUAAAUU